AUUGAACGCUGGCGGAAUGCUUUACACAUGCAAGUCGAGCGGCAGCGCGGCCUUCGGGCUGGCGGCGAGCGGCGAACGGGUGAGUAAUGCAUCGGAACAUGCCCAGUCGUGGGGGAUAACACUUCGAAAGAAGUGCUAAUACCGCAUACGUCCUGAGGGGGAAAGCGGGGGAUCGCAAGACCUCGCGCGAUUGGAGUGGCCGAUGUCAGAUUAGCUAGUUGGUGGGGUAAAGGCAUACCAAGGCGACGAUCUGUAGCUGGUCUGAGAGGAUGAUCAGCCACACUGGGACUGAGACACGGCCCAGACUCCUACGGGAGGCAGCAGUGGGGAAUUUUGGACAAUGGGGGCAACCCUGAUCCAGCCAUUCCGCGUGAGUGAAGAAGGCCUUCGGGUUGUAAAGCUCUUUCGGCAGGAACGAAACGGUGGGCUCUAACAUAGUCCGCUAAUGACGGUACCUGAAGAAGAAGCACCGGCUAACUACGUG
rnacentral:rRNA from 1 species